rnacentral:rRNA from 1 species
GACAGAGGGGGCAAGCGUUGCUCGGAAUCACUGGGCGUAAAGGGCGCGUCGGCGGGAUGGCAAGUCGGUCGUGAAAUCCUUCGGCUCAACCGAAGAACGUCGGCCGAUACUGCCGUUCUUGAGGGAUGCAGAGGAGAUUGGAAUUCCCGGUGUAGCGGUGAAAUGUGUAGAGAUCGGGAGGAACACCGGUGGCGAAGGCGGGUCUCUGGGCAUCUCCUGACGCUGAGGCGCGAAAGCGUGGGGAGCAAACGGG